AGAGAACAUCAUGGACUUUUCACAGGAGCUGAGAAGGGCCACAGGGGCAGGCCAAGUGAAACCUGAUAUCCAUGAACUGUGUCUUCUAUAUCUACCAACAAGCAAUGAGGCUUAGAGUCCUGAAAUGAUAAAAGUUGACUAACCAAGGCUGCCAGAGCAUUUAUAAGCAGAAGUUUGACGAGCUUUUAUCAUUUGAGUUGAUGCAUUCAAAA
rnacentral:lncRNA from 1 species